AAAUUUUUUACUUUAUGUUUCUGCUUAGGCUAGCAAGUGCCUUCAUCACCUCUAUAGCAAAGAGGCUUUCAGAGGAGUUUUGCUUGAAUUCUCCUGCCUCAGCCUCCUGAGUAGCUGGGAUUACAGGCAUGUGCCACCAUGCCCAGCUAAUUUUGUAUUUUUAGUAGAGACGGGGUUUCAUCAUGUUAGUCAGGCUGGUCUCAAAUUCCUGACCUGAGGUGAUCCACCUGCCUCAGCCUCCCAAAGUGCUGGGAUUACAGGCGUGAGUCACCAUGCUCAGCCAAUGCUGGAAAUUUUUAAGGGAAAUAUAGUGAUAUAUGCAGGACACUGUGCAAACUGCUAUUAUUAAGCUGUUGGGACCUAAUUACUUAAAACACUGAACUAUUAAGUAUAUAUUUUGACCUGGGGCACCAUGAAAAAAGUACCAAGACAACUAAUGGCACCCUGAACACAGAAAGUUUAGGAAUCUCUGGCACAUACAAUUUUUUGUUAGGCUUGAAGGAUAUACAAGAACUGUAAAAUACAAACAAUUUCAAGCCAUGCCCAUACAUACUCGUUUCCAUUUCAGAUGGCUUAACUGUGAUAAAAGCUGCUUAUUUAACCCAUUUGUUCUGAUUAAAUCAGUGUGACCAAACACAGUCUUUAGAAAAAAUAGAUUAUUCCCCCACAUCAGGACCUUCAAUCAUAGAAGAUAGGUGACUUUCACUUGCAAAAUCCGUGAUGACCUGAUAUUUUAUCAACAAACAUAUACCUUUAUGGGGGUUCUAUCUCCUUCAAAGUAGUCAUUUUGGGAGAUUACACUUAUUCUGGUGGAAGAAUGACUCUGGUUAAAAAUAAUCAUGCACUUUGGGCAGGGGUGGUGGGGGCGGGGUGUGGAAAUCUUCAUUUGAAAUUAUCUUCAGAGCCCAUGACAUGGCGUUUUACAAAGAGUCAAUGAUGCUAAAACUCCAGCUCUGAGGGAAGAUUUAACUUCUAGAAAUUGUCAAACACAACUUUGUGCAAAAUCUGAUAAACAAGGCAGGUAAAUCAAAGAGGGAAACAUCUGCUAAGGAUUUUUGUAAAAAGCAAAACAAACAACAACAAAACCUAAGUAAGAAUUCUCAAAUGAUGACACACAUCUCAGAGGAGGGAGUGGAUUCUAAAGCCUUUUCUGAAAGAGGAGUGGCAAAAAUAAUUUAAUAGCAUUAUGAAUAUAAAUAUGUAGUCUCUCAAGAUGGCUACUCUGGUGGGCAAUAUUCACUCAUACGUACAAACAUAGGGUAAUAGUCUUAAAAGUUAUGCAUAUUACUUUUUUUGGCACACCUCUUAAACCAAUAAUAUCAAAAAAGAUGGCUAUUUUAAUAAACAUUUUCAAAAAUUAUAACAUGGACAAUUAUAUGAUACAAAAUCAAAUACAUCUGGGGAAAUAAGCAUGAUCUCUUUUGUAGAGCUAUACUGAUUUUGUAAUACAUUGAUAGGUGUAGACAGGGCUGAUAUUCAGAUGGUCUAUGCUGGUGGGGCAUUAACUAUUUUGAGGGUCAUCCGUGAACACAGAUGUCUUUAUAUAUAAGUCUAUAUGUACAGAAUACUCCCCAUUUAUAUAUAGUUUAGGUAUCUUGAUUUUUUCAAAAGUUGGUUGAUUGGCACUUACAACACAGUUUUCCAAAAACAAAACCAUGCUCUAAAAUUUAGUCUUGUGAGGCUAUCAGGUCAUUCUUUUGACUUUACCGUGUAAGAUAUUUAAUAACAGUGCAAAAUAUUGCUUCUCUGGGGAAAAGGUGUUCUACACUUCCUAUCAGUAUCCCAGGUACAUGCCUUCUCUCAGAGUGACAAAGAGAUUUCCACUGAUGAGGACAGGGAAAGAAAUAGGACCUGUUUUUGUUACUUUCUGCAAUGGCAUGUUACUCCCUGCAAAUGUUCAAAAGAAAGUAAAUUUAAGUCAGUUCUCUUUAGAAGGUACUAGAUAAGUGUUCUGAACCCAGCUUCACAUCAGAAUCACAUGAAGGUGUGUAAAAAACAAAACAAAACAAAAAAACACCAAUUCCUAGGCCCCACCAGUUAAAUCCAAAUCUCUGGUGGCUGGAACAUUGGCAGCGACAGUGUUCACAGCUCCCAGAUGGUUCCAAUGUACACGAGGGUUGAGAACCAUAGACUAACUUUUUCUCUACUCUACUAUUAAUAUGAUUGUUUUUGCAACUUUGGCCUAGGUUCACAGAUGGGAGAGGCAUACAUAUGAGAAGUUACACAUUCUGUUUAGAAUGUCUCAAAGUGGAAAAACAGGUAAGAGUAAUCGGACCUAGACCAGAGAGACAAUUUGCUCUACAUCGUUCACCAAAAGCUAAAAUGGAGUAACCGGAUUUUUUUUCCUAUUGCUUCCUGUUUUCAUAGGUGGGUGAAUAAAGUAAGGAAUACAAUUGUAAUUUUUCUCUUGAUCUCCAAGAGAAGAACUUCCAGAUUUAGGAAGAUAGAUGGGAAAGUGAACAGCCAUAAUCACUAGGGUGAUACUCCUUUUCUGGCUAGAAUAAAAUGAGGACAGAGGUAGCUUCAGAGCAGAGGAAGCUCAUGUUUAAUCAAGCAGAUAUAUCUUGGAACUGAAUAUGAAGAAGUGUUCGGAAGUGUCACGCUCAUUCUGGGCAGGAGCAACUCCUCCUUGUCAAGAACAAGGAGGAAAAAAUGCAAACAGAGAAAAACAUAUGAUUGCACUUCAAAAUCUAAAAGGGGAAGGAAGAGAGGAUUCAGGGAAGCAAUCCUCUCCAUAUUGAACUUGAGGCCAAGAAAGAAAAAAUAAGGUUUUUUUUUCUUCUUUUUAAAAUCAAAACCCUCUGUCCUUCCUUUCCUGACUCGACAUUUCCAAGCUGUGCUUCCUCAUAUCUAAGCCACCUCACCACAGCAUUUGACACUA
rnacentral:lncRNA from 10 species